rnacentral:rRNA from 1 species
CAGUAGCCGCGGGAACACGUAGGGUGCGAGCGUUAAUCGGAAUUACUGGGCGUAAAGCGUGCGCAGGCGGUUUUGUAAGACAGGCGUGAAAUCCCCGGGCUCAACCUGGGAAUGGCGCUUGUGACUGCAAAGCUAGAGUGCGGCAGAGGGGGAUGGAAUUCCGCGUGUAGCAGUGAAAUGCGUAGAUAUGCGGAGGAACACCGAUGGCGAAGGCAAUCCCCUGGGCCUGCACUGACGCUCAUGCACGAAAGCGUGGGGAGCAAACAGGAUUAGAUACCCCAGUAGUCCCUGUCUCUUAUAC